rnacentral:lncRNA from 1 species
GGAAACUGGAUGUUCUCCUAAAACAGCCACCUAGCCAAGCUGAACCAACAGAGAUGUAUUGAUCACCGGGUCAAUGGAACUAGGUGGGUGCUGGGGGGAAAGUCAGCAGGUAAGUCAGGUGAGGACUGCCUCCCUUCCACUCCCCACCCAGAGACUGAAGACAGACAGACAGACAGAGGCGUUCAUUCAGAAAGAAGUAGGAGGGCUUCAGGGAUUCAGCGGAGGAGACUGAAAGCCUGAGAGACGAUGCCUCUGAGAAGGUUACAGACCUUGGGAGAAAGCGCUUUCACCUCCUCACCACAGACACUCUCGACUGUGGACUCAGGACACUAAGCCAGAAAGGUGACGAUUUCCUUCUUGAACCCGGCCUGCAUCAGCAGCUCAGACGUCGGUCCUUAUAUUUGCUUUAGGAACCUGACAAGACUGACUAGCCAUCUCUAGCAUUCAGAUAGGUGGAACUUCAUUGUGCUGAAGUUAUGUUUGAGCACCCUCUGCUGGACAAAUCAGGUAAGUACAGGAUUUUUUUUUUUUUUUUUGGUCUUGUGCCUUUUAAAUUCAUGCUCCGAAGAAGAGAAGAUUUUUAUCUCGAAUCUACACUAAAAGAAGUCUCCUCUUUAAACAGAUGCUCUAUGACUACCAACAAUGUACCAGUGGUAUUCGUCUCUUGCAGAUCUGGAAGAAAAUGAAAUUUAGGUACAUACAGUCACGAACAGAUACCUAGAUGACACAUUUAAAACCCUCAAACACAGUGGAGAUGAGACCAGCAUAAUAUUAAGCUCUUCUCCCUCACAAACACCUGUGCUACCCACACUCACAGGCAAAAAAAAUAUACACAACUGCCAGACUGCAAUGCCUCCCAAUUUAUUGGCCAAAUCUAGAUUCUGCUAGCCCUGUAUAUUCACUCAGAAAGCCAGGCUUCAGACACACCAUGAGUGAUGAGAAAUCCAUUUCAUCAGCAGAGGCAUCUUGCCUAUCUUCAGGAAGCCUACAGACUUCCAGAUGUGAGCGAGCAGUCUCCUUCCUGCUGCUGCAGCUGCAAGCUGCUCCUGCCGCCCAUGCCUUCUCUACUGCCAUGCCUUCCCUACCACAAGGGCCAGAACUCUCACACUGAAAGCCAGAAUAAAUCCUUCCUCUCUUCGGUUGGUUGUUGUCAGGUAAUUG